rnacentral:rRNA from 1 species
GAUGAACGCUGGCGGCGUGCCUAAUACAUGCAAGUCGAGCGAACAGAUGAGGAGCUUGCUCCUCUGACGUUAGCGGCGGACGGGUGAGUAACACGUGGGUAACCUACCUAUAAGACUGGGAUAACUUCGGGAAACCGGAGCUAAUACCGGAUAAUAUUUCGAACCGCAUGGUUCGAUAGUGAAAGAUGGCUUUGCUAUCACUUAUAGAUGGACCUGCGCCGUAUUAGCUAGUUGGUAAGGUAACGGCUUACCAAGGCAACGAUACGUAGCCGACCUGAGAGGGUGAUCGGCCACACUGGAACUGAGACACGGUCCAGACUCCUACGGGAGGCAGCAGUAGGGAAUCUUCCGCAAUGGGCGAAAGCCUGACGGAGCAACGCCGCGUGAGUGAUGAAGGUCUUCGGAUCGUAAAACUCUGUUAUUAGGGAAGAAUAAACGUGUAAGUAACUGUGCACGUCUUGACGGUACCUAAUCAGAAAGCCACGGCUAACUACGUG